rnacentral:rRNA from 1 species
GGCGGCGUGCCUAAUACAUGCAAGUAGAACGCUGAAGAGAGGAGCUUGCUCUUCUUGGAUGAGUUGCGAACGGGUGAGUAACGCGUAGGUAACCUGCCUUGUAGCGGGGGAUAACUAUUGGAAACGAUAGCUAAUACCGCAUAACAAUGGAUGACACAUGUCAUUUAUUUGAAAGGGGCAAUUGCUCCACUACAAGAUGGACCUGCGUUGUAUUAGCUAGUAGGUGAGGUAACGGCUCACCUAGGCGACGAUACAUAGCCGACCUGAGAGGGUGAUCGGCCACACUGGGACUGAGACACGGCCCAGACUCCUACGGGAGGCAGCAGUAGGGAAUCUUCGGCAAUGGGGGCAACCCUGACCGAGCAACGCCGCGUGAGUGAAGAAGGUUUUCGGAUCGUAAAGCUCUGUUGUAAGUCAAGAACGAGUGUGAGAGUGGAAAGUUCACACUGUGACGGUAGCUUACCAGAAAGGGACGGCUAACUACGUGCCAGCAGCCGCGGUAAUACGUAGGUCCCGAGCGUUGUCCGGAUUUAUUGGGCGUAAAGCGAGCGCAGGCGGUUUGAUAAGUCUGAAGUUAAAGGCUGUGGCUCAACCAUAGUUCGCUUUGGAAACUGUCAAACUUGAGUGCAGAAGGGGAGAGUGGAAUUCCAUGUGUAGCGGUGAAAUGCGUAGAUAUAUGGAGGAACACCGGUGGCGAAAGCGGCUCUCUGGUCUGUAACUGACGCUGAGGCUCGAAAGCGUGGGGAGCGAACAGGAUUAGAUACCCUGGUAGUCCACGCCGUAAACGAUGAGUGCUAGGUGUUGGAUCCUUUCCGGGAUUCAGUGCCGCAGCUAACGCAUUAAGCACUCCGCCUGGGGAGUACGACCGCAAGGUUGAAACUCAAAGGAAUUGACGGGGGCCCGCACAAGCGGUGGAGCAUGUGGUUUAAUUCGAAGCAACGCGAAGAACCUUACCAGGUCUUGACAUCCCGAUGCUAUUUCUAGAGAUAGAAAGUUACUUCGGUACAUCGGUGACAGGUGGUGCAUGGUUGUCGUCAGCUCGUGUCGUGAGAUGUUGGGUUAAGUCCCGCAACGAGCGCAACCCCUAUUGUUAGUUGCCAUCAUUCAGUUGGGCACUCUAGCGAGACUGCCGGUAAUAAACCGGAGGAAGGUGGGGAUGACGUCAAAUCAUCGUGCCCCUUAUGACCUGGGCUACACACGUGCUACAAUGGUUGGUACAACGAGUUGCGAGUCGGUGACGGCAAGCUAAUCUCUUAAAGCCAAUCUCAGUUCGGAUUGUAGGCUGCAACUCGCCUACAUGAAGUCGGAAUCGCUAGUAAUCGCGGAUCAGCACGCCGCGGUGAAUACGUUCCCGGGCCUUGACACACCGCCCGUCA